GUUAUUGUAGCUUACACACUUAAAGCACGGCACUGAAAAUGCCGAGACGGACACCCGUCCCAAAAACA
rnacentral:tRNA from 1 species